GAGGGUAUAGCUCAGUGGUAGAGUGUGUGCCUAGCAUGCAUGAGGUCCUGGGUUCAACACCAGUACCUCUG
rnacentral:tRNA from 1 species